rnacentral:rRNA from 1 species
GAUCAUGGCUCAGGACGAACGCUGGCGGCGUGCUUAACACAUGCAAGUCGAACGGAAAGGCCCUGCUUUUGUGGGGUGCUCGAGUGGCGAACGGGUGAGUAACACGUGAGUAACCUGCCCUUGACUUUGGGAUAACUUCAGGAAACUGGGACUAAUACCGGAUAGGAGCUCCUGCUGCAUGGUGGGGGUUGGAAAGUUUCGGCGGUUGGGGAUGGACUCGCGGCUUAUUAGCUUGUUGGUGGGGUAGUGGCUUACCAAGG